rnacentral:rRNA from 1 species
AGAGUUUGAUCAUGGCUCAGGAUGAACGCUAGCUACAGGCUUAACACAUGCAAGUCGAGGGGUAACGACAGCGAAAGCUUGCUUUUGCUGGGCGACGACCGGCGAAUGGGUGAGUAACGCGUAUCCAACCUGCCGCAAAGUAGGGCACAGCCUUGCGAAAGUAAGAUUAAUGCCCUAUGUGCUGUGAUGAUGACAUCAGAAUUGCAGUAAAGGUUCACCGCUUUGCGAUGGGGAUGCGUCUGAUUAGGUUGUUGGCGGGGUAACGGCCCACCAAGCCCGCGAUCAGUAGGGGUUCUGAGAGGAAGGUCCCCCACAUUGGAACUGAGACACGGUCCAAACUCCUACGGGAGGCAGCAGUGAGGAAUAUUGGUCAAUGGGCGAGAGCCUGAACCAGCCAAGUAGCGUGCGGGACGAAGGCCCUAUGGGUUGUAAACCGCUUUUACGGGGGGAUAAAGUGAGUGACGUGUCAUUCAUUGCAGGUACCCCGCGAAUAAGGACCGGCUAAUUCCGUGCCAGCAGCCGCGGUAAUACGGAAGGUCCGGGCGUUAUCCGGAUUUAUUGGGUUUAAAGGGAGCACAGGCCGGCUGUCAAGCGUGUUGUGAAAUGUGGGCGCUCAACGCCUGACUUGCAGCGCGAACUGACGGUCUUGAGUGCGCGCAACGUUGGCGGAAUUUGUCGUGUAGCGGUGAAAUGCUUAGAUAUGACGAAGAACUCCGAUUGCGAAGGCAGCUGACGGGAGCGUUACUGACGCUUAAGCUCGAAAGCGCGGGUAUCGAACAGGAUGCCCGCUGUUUGCGUCUAACGUAAGCGGCCAAGUGAAAACGUUAAGCAUCCCACCUGGGGAGUACGCCGGCAACGGUGAAACUCAAAGGAAUUGACGGGGGCCCGCACAAGCGGAGGAACAUGUGGUUUAAUUCGAUGAUACGCGAGGAACCUUACCCGGGCUUGAAUUGCUGAGGAAAGAUCCAGAGAUGGUGAUGCCCUUCGGGGCCUCAGUGAAGGUGCUGCAUGGUUGUCGUCAGCUCGUGCCGUGAGGUGUCGGCUUAAGUGCCAUAACGAGCGCAACCCCUCUCUUCAGUUGCCAUCAGGCUAUGCUGGGCACUCUGGAGACACUGCCACCGCAAGGUGUGAGGAAGGUGGGGAUGACGUCAAAUCAGCACGGCCCUUACGUCCGGGGCUACACACGUGUUACAAUGGGGGGCACAGAGAGCCGGGUGCGCGCAAGCUUGCCCAAAUCCUUAAAUCCCCCCACAGUUCGGACUGGGGUCUGCAACCCGACCCCACGAAGCUGGAUUCGCUAGUAAUCGCGCAUCAGCCAUGGCGCGGUGAAUACGUUCCCGGGCCUUGUACACACCGCCCGUCAAGCCAUGAAAGCCGGGGGUGCCUGAAGUCCGUGACCGCAAGGGACGGCCUAGGGCAAAACUGGUAAUUGGGGCUAAGUCGUAACAAGGUAACC